rnacentral:rRNA from 1 species
UACGAAGGGGGCUAGCGUUGCUCGGAAUCACUGGGCGUAAAGCGCACGUAGGCGGUUUGCUAAGUCAGGGGUGAAAUCCUGGAGCUCAACUCCAGAACUGCCUUUGAUACUGAAGAUCUUGAGUUCGGGAGAGGUGAGUGGAACUGCGAGUGUAGAGGUGAAAUUCGUAGAUAUUCGCAAGAACACCAGUGGCGAAGGCGGCUCACUGGCCCGAUACUGACGCUGAGGCACGAAAGCGUGGGGAGCAAACAGG